GAGAGCCGUAUGAUGGGAAACUAUCACGUACGGUUCGGGAAAGACUUUUGAUCACUGAUAUAAAAUAUCAAGGAUUGUCAGUUAUUUUCAC
rnacentral:ncRNA from 1 species